GAAAGAGUGAAAAGCUCAUUGUAGUAGAAAGAUAGAAGUCGAAGAAGCCCGGAAAGAAGAGAUGAGGACUGGAGAGCUGGCCGAGCCGGCAAGUGUCUGCAGAGCAAGCAUGAGCGAUUGAGUUUGUCUCAGAAGCCAGACAUGGUGGCGUGUGCUUGUAAUCCCAGCUCUGGGGAGAUGGAGACAGGCAGAUCCCUGGAGCUUGCUGGACAGCUAGCCCAUACCUAUGGAAGUAGCAGGACCUUCUUCAGUAUCAUCAUGCCAUGUUGGAGUUUCUGUCCCCCCGACCCAAUCCUGUCCAUCUUAUCUGAAGUUGUGCAAGUCUAGAGACAGAUGUAGAGUGGGCACUGAGCCACUACAUCUUCCACUAUGUCUUCAUUAGGCAUGGUAUCCAACACCCCCUACCUAACCUAUUCCACUUCUCCAUGGUCCCAAAGGUCCCUUUUGGCAGGAGCUACCCAAAGUGAGGUAUGGCUCCUUGUGCUCAGGAAUGGAGCCAUCAGUCAGGGUGGGUCAGAAAGAGCUUCAAGAGAAGCUUGUGAGACAGGUUUGAUCUCAUGCACAGCUUUCCCUAGCCACAUUUGGACAACUGAAGUUGCGCCUUUUCCAUGAGGAAGUGUUAUCAAACUUGGGGGUCACUUACUAUGCUCCAAGCUAGGUUUGGCCACCCACCACCCUUCAUAAGCCAAUUAAAGGAACCAAAUUAAUAGUGGAAAGCAGAAAAAGAUUUAUUCAACACAACCCCAUUGGGAAGAGGGACAAAGGGAUCCAGCCACUGUCCAAGUCAUUUUCAGCAAGGUUAAAGUUCAGAUAGAGAGCCAAGGAUAUUCAUAUAUGUAUGUCUGUCUUAGUCAGGGUUUCUAUUCCUGCACAAACAUCAUGACCAAGAAGCAAGUUGGGGAGGAAAGGGUUUAUUCAGCUUACACUUCCANNNNNNNNNNNNNNNNNNNNNNNNNNNNNNNNNNNNNNNNNNNNNNNNNNNNNNNGUAUCUCAUGGAGGCAUUUCCUCCACUGAAGCUCCUUUCUCUGUGAUAACUCCAGCUGUGUCAAGUUGACACAAAACUAGCCAAUACAAUGUCUAAGCAGUACCAGUCAAGGUGGAGUCCCAUCUCUCUGACCUAUCAUUAUCUGGGACUCAGUCUCAUUCUGUAAGGUGGUUUGACAAGUGGUUAGAACUGUGUGAAACCUCUCUCAGGAAGACAUGUUCCCCUGAUGGCUGGUACCUUUUCCUUCUCUGAGCAUGAGACUCCUGGAGAAAUUCCCAUUCUUUGGGAUCCUUUGUUUGAAUAGUCUGAUACAUUGAGAUGCAUGGUGUCUCAUUAGAAUAUCUUCAUUUCUGUCAGGCCAGUUACAUAAAGACAUUGUAUUAGUUGCUUUUCUCAUUGCUCUAACAGAACACCUAACAGAAAUAACUUCUGAGAGGAAGGGCUUGUUUAGGUCGUGUUUCAGAGGGGUACAGCCCUUCCUGGUGAGGAUGAACACAGUGGGUGGGGCAGCUGAGAUGUUGAGUCUGUAGUCCCGGGGACUAAUGGGAUGGUCUAUUAAAUCCUAGUGGAUCAGGAAGCAAAGAGGUCUGGAAACAGAAGUUUCCAUAACCCUACAACCCUCCAUUUGUCGGUGAGGCCCCACCCCCUAAAGGUUCCAUAACCUCCAGAAAUAGUAUCAGUGUCAGCAGCAGGAGGUCGAGUGUUCAAACACAGGAGCCUGCUGCUGGCACAUUUACAUUCAAGUCAUAAUGCUCACCUCUGAUGGGGAGGGAAGCAGGCUGGGAAGAGGAUGUGAACAGCUGCCACCUCAAGACCUGGCUGGUCAGUUUAGGUGGGAGGGGGCCCUCAGGAUGGCUUGUAUCCAAGAACCUCGUUCUCAGGAGGCUAACCCAAAGCAAAGGAAAACUGGGGGAAGGACGCUUGGGGGAAAAUAGGUGUGCCAUCCAUAUUCCCUCUCCCUGAGUCCUCACCACCAUCAUCACAAGCACCCAACAGGCUAAGUAUCCACAGCAGGGUCUGGUAUUAAAUUAUAGUUCAUGAAAGUAAAGGAAAGACUCAGAGUCAUUGAGGAAGGAUGGGUGGCUUUCUAUACACUUCCUAUAAAACUGUCAAAGAGGACAAGCUUAAAAACAAACAAACAAAAAGAGACAAAAAGUACAGAACAAAAUGAACAGGAUGCAGGCCCAGGAAGCAAUGAGGAUGUAAGUGGGUGAGCGGUUAUGAAGGUGUGUGUAUGGACCGUUCUCUCGGGAGUCUGGAUGAUACACUGCCGGUGAGCAGGAGCUGAGUCAGGGGGAAGGGCCCGUGGAGAGAGUGCGGGCAUUUGCUUUGCAUUUAGAACUUCAAAUUUCGUCCUGUUUGGAUUCUCUAGUCAUGUUUCAAUGUUGCUUCUUUUCCUCUUGUUUUCUGUUUUAUGCAUACAUUACUUCUUAGAAACUAUCAGUUAGGGAUUAGGUAAGUCGUAGGAUACAGCUCACUUGGCGUUUCCUCUAUGUAAAAAACUGAGUUCCGUGUGACUCAGUGCGAGAGUCCUUGGCUAGCACAUAUGAAACCCUAGCUUUUGUUGCCAGUGUAGAAAAAAAAGUAAAUAAGUAGUAUUUUUAAAAGG
ensembl:antisense Gm42765 predicted gene 42765